CUGCUAAUGUCUUUGCAAAAUCAAUAGAUCUAUUAGCACUUGCACGGUUUCGGCAUCGGCCUGUUUGCUUGCCUAGCUGGUGCCUCAUAUAUUUGUUUUUGUGUCGUUGAAGAUAACUGCAUAAAUGUUUCGUGGCAUCGUUUGGCAGCAGAUUCUUUUUCCCUAUAACGUUGAACGAUCUACGAUAAUGAUGAGCAUCUUGAAAGGAAGAUUCUAGAUCCUGAGCACUUGAGCAAGGUGGAAUCAAUUUUCGGCAAUCUUUCAGAAACCAUUAAAAUAUAUGGUCCUUGGUCUUCUGCAUGGGUAGGAGAAGCUGGAGGGGCAUACAACAGUGGUGGCAAUCAUGUUUCUAACAGAUUUCUAAACAGCUUUUGGUACUUAGAUCAACUUGGAAUAGCAUCCUGCUACAGCACUAAAGUCUAUUGCAGGCAGACUUUAAUUGGAGGGAACUAUGGCCUUCUCAAUACCACCACCUUUGCUCCCAAUCCUGACUACUACAGUGCAGUUUUGUGGCAUCGGUUAAUGGGAAAGAAGGUUCUUGCGGUCUCAAGUGAUGUUCAUAUUAAAGACUUUUACCUACAGUUAGGAAAUGUAAGUAGAAGUUAAUGACUUUUACCUACAAUUGAAGAUGAUAGAUACAUAUUAAAGACUUUUUACCUACAGUUAGGAAAUGUAAGUAGAAGUUAAUGACUUUAACCUACACAUUAUACAUAGUAGGUGAAACCUAUAGUGACAGACAAUUAGCCGUCACUAUACCCCCCUCAAAGUUGACAGAGAAAACGUCCGUAGGACAAAGUCUAUCAUACAUUUACCUACUGAUUUUUUAUUUAUAAUGACAGUUUUUAUGCGUAGGUAUAU